rnacentral:rRNA from 1 species
CGCAUGGUGGGGGUUGGAAAGUUUUUCGGUGCAGGAUGAGUCCGCGGCCUAUCAGCUUGUUGGUGGGGUAAUGGCCCACCAAGGCGACGACGGGUAGCCGGCCUGAGAGGGUGAUCGGCCACACUGGGACUGAGACACGGCCCAGACUCCUACGGGAGGCAGCAGUGGGGAAUAUUGCACAAUGGGCGAAAGCCUGAUGCAGCGACGCCGCGUGGGGGAUGACGGUCUUCGGAUUGUAAACCCCUUUCAGUAGGGACGAAGCGCAAGUGACGGUACCUGCAGAAGAAGCACCGGCCAACUACGUGCCAGCAGCCGCGGUAAUACGUAGGGUGCGAGCGUUGUCCGGAAUUACUGGGCGUAAAGAGCUCGUAGGCGGUUUGUCACGUCGUCUGUGAAAUCCUCCAGCUUAACUGGGGGCGUGCAGGCGAUACGGGCAGACUUGAGUACUGCAGGGGAGACUGGAAUUCCUGGUGUAGCGGUGAAAUGCGCAGAUAUCAGGAGGAACACCGGUGGCGAAGGCGGGUCUCUGGGUAGUAACUGACGCUGAGGAGCGAAAGCAUGGGUUGCGGACAGGAUUAGAUACCCUGGUAGUCCAUGCCGUAAACGGUGGGCGCUAGGUG